GAUCACGCGGUAAUCUUGCAUGGCGACUACUACGGAGUAUGGGGACAAGGGAGUGACUUCUGGAAAAUGUGGAUUUAAACGUUUAUUUUUACCACAGUUCACACAUUUUAUAGCCCGUACCGAUCGCCGUUGGGAUUCAGAUGAAGCUGGAUUUCUUUCAGAGGAAGUUCUGGACCGCUAGUAGACAGUGUGCUGCUCUGGAUGGGAAGUGCACCAUUAGCUGUGAUAAUGAGGACAUUAAGUGUUACCUUAUAGACAACAACGGAUUUAUUCUGGU